rnacentral:rRNA from 1 species
GAGAAGUCGUAACAAGGUUUUCAUAGGUGAACCUAUAGAAGGAUCAUUG